GAUGAACGCUGGCGGCGUGCCUAAUACAUGCAAGUCGAGCGAACAGAUAAGGAGCUUGCUCCUUUGACGUUAGCGGCGGACGGGUGAGUAACACGUGGGUAACCUACCUAUAAGACUGGAAUAACUCCGGGAAACCGGGGCUAAUGCCGGAUAAUAUUUAGAACCGCAUGGUUCUAAAGUGAAAGAUGGUUUUACUAUCACUUAUAGAUGGACCCGCGCCGUAUUAGCUAGUUGGUGGGGUAAUGGCUUACCAAGGCAACGAUACGUAGCCGACCUGAGAGGGUGAUCGGCCACACUGGAACUGAGACACGGUCCAGACUCCUACGGGAGGCAGCAGUAGGGAAUCUUCCGCAAUGGGCGAAAGCCUGACGGAGCAACGCCGCGUGAGUGAUGAAGGUCUUCGGAUCGUAAAACUCUGUUAUUAGGGAAGAACAAAUGUGUAAGUAACUGUGCACGUCUUGACGGUACCUAAUCAGAAAGCCACGGCUAACUACGUGCCAGCAGCCGCGGUAAUA
rnacentral:rRNA from 1 species